rnacentral:rRNA from 1 species
AGAGUUUGAUCCUGGCUCAGAGUGAACGCUGGCGGUGUGGAUUAGGCAUGCAAGUCGAGCGAUUCUUUUUUAGUAUCUGCAAGUUUACACUAGUAAAAAUGCAGAAACUUUUUAAGAAUAGCGGCAAACGGGUGAGUAACACGUGAGUAAUCUACCAGUAAGCUUGGAAUAGCUUCGCGAAAGCGGGGGUAAUUCCAAAUAAGACCAUGUUUUGGCAUCAUUACAUGGUUAAAGCAGGGGACCGCAAGGCCUUGCACUUACUGAUGAGCUCGCGCUCUAUCAGCUUGUUGGUGGGGUAAUGGCCUACCAAGGCUAAGACGGAUAGCUGGUCUGAGAGGAUGGUUAGCCACACUGGGACUGAGACACUGCCCAGACUCCUACGGGAGGCUGCAGUCGAGAAUCUUUAGCAAUGGGCGAAAGCCUGACUAUGCGACGCCGCGUGAGGGAUGAAGGCCUUCGGGUUGUAAACCUCUUUCGAUUAGGAAGAAUAUCCUAUGCUCUAACAUAGCAUAGGACUGACGUUACUAAGAGAAGAAGCUACGGCCAACUCCGUGCCAGCAGCCGCGGUAAUACGGAGGUAGCAAGCGUUACUCGGAUUCAUUGGGUGUAAAGGGCAGGCAGGUGUCUUAACAAGUGAGAGGUGAAAUCCUUCGACUUAAUCGGAGAACUGCCUUUCAAACUGUUGAGAUUGAGUAUGAGAGAGGAAAGCGGAACUCUCGGUGUAAGGGUGAAAUCUGUAGAGAUCGAGAGGAACACCAGUAGCGAAGGCGGCUUUCUGGACCAUUACUGACACUGAGCUGCGAAAGCUAGGGUAGCGAACAGGAUUAGAUACCCUGGUGGUCCUAGCCGUAAACGAUGAGUACUUGGUGUCCUGUUUUUUACAGGGUGCCGAAGUUAACACAUCAAGUACUCCACCUGGGGACUACGGCCGCAAGGCUAAAACUCAAAGGAAUUGACGGGGGCCCGCACAAGCGGUGGAACAUGUGGUUCAAUUCGAUGAUACGCGAAGAACCUCACCAGGGCUUGACAUGUAGGUAGUAAGAACCUGAAAGGGGGAUGACUCGUCAAGUCGAGAACCUACACAGGUGUUGCAUGGCUGUCGUCAGCUCGUGUCGUGAGAUGUUGGGUUAAGUCCCGCAACGAGCGCAACCUUCAUCCUUUGUUGCCACUCUUUUUCUAGGAAACUGGAAAAAGAAGCACUCUAAGGAGACUGCCCGCGAUAAGCGGGAGGAAGGCGGAGAUGUCGUCAAGUCAGUACGGCCCUUAUGCCCUUGGCCACACACGUGUUACAAUGGGGUGUACAAAGGGUAGCCAAACCGCGAGGUGGAGCUAAUCUCAAAAAACACCCCCCAGUUCGGAUUGGAGUCUUCAACUCGACUCCAUGAAGUUGGAAUCGCUAGUAAUGGCGGAUCAGCUACGCUGCCGUGAAAACGUUCCCGGGCCUUGUACACACCGCCCGUCAAGCGAUGGGAGUUGGGGGUACCCGAAGUCCCUGUUUUCAGGGCCGAAGGUAAAACUGGUAACUGGCGCUAAGUCGUAACAAGGUA